AAAGCUCCAAGGUCUCUUGACCAGAAGAUUGGGCUUAACAUGGAUCUUAAACCUUCGGAAGUAAUUGCACAUCCUGAUGCAGAAACAGCAGAAGAUCUGCUAAUGAAGCAAUUUAUGAAGAAGGACUUGGAUCAGUCCAAGGGAGAAUCAAGUCAUCAGAUGGAGAUUUGGAUUGGAGGAUGGAAGGAUGAAAACAUUACAAGAGAUAGGGGAGAUGUUGGGUGUGUGCAGGGAGAGAAUACGGCAAAUUGAGUCGAGCGCAUUUCGAAAACUGAAGAAUAAGAAGAGGACCAAACAAUUGAAGCAGUAUUUAGUUUAGUGAAAUAGGAACUACAGUGCUGAAGCUCC
rnacentral:misc_RNA from 1 species